rnacentral:tRNA from 1 species
UGGGGAGUCGUCCAACGGUAAGACAGCGGACUUUGAAUCCGUUUAUCCUGGUUCGAAUCCAGGCUCCCCAG